rnacentral:rRNA from 1 species
ACGAACGCUGGCGGCGUGCUUAACCCCUGCAAGUCGAACGGAAAGGCCCCUUUGGGGGUCCUCGAGUGGCGAACGGGUGAGUAACACGUGAGUAACCUGCCCUUGACUUCGGGAUAACUUCAGGAAACUGGGGCUAAUACCGGAUAGGAAUCCUUGCUGCAUGGUGGGGGUUGGAAAGCUUCGGCGGUUUUGGAUGGACUCGCGGCUUAUCAGCUUGUUGGUGGGGUAGUGGCUUACCAAGGCUUUGACGGGUAGCCGGCCUGAGAGGGCGACCGGCCACAUUGGGACUGAGAUACGGCCCAGACUCCUACGGGAGGCAGCAGUGGGGAAUAUUGCACAAUGGGCGGAAGCCUGAUGCAGCAACGCCGCGUGCGGGAUGACGGCCUUCGGGUUGGAAACCGCUUUCAGCAGGGGCGAAGCUUGUGGUGACGGUACCUGCAGAAGAAGCACCGGCUAACUACGUG